CCUACGGGUGGCAGCAGUGGGGAAUUUUGGACAAUGGGGGCAACCCUGAUCCAGCCAUGCCGCGUGGGUGAAGAAGGCCUUCGGGUUGUAAAGCCCUUUCGGCCGGGACGAAAGGGUGCGCGUGAAUAACGCGCACUGAUGACGGUACCGGCAGAAGAAGCACCGGCUAACUACGUGCCAGCAGCCGCGGUAAUACGUAGGGUGCAGGCGUUAAUCGGAAUUACUGGGCGUAAAGGGUGCGCAGGCGGUUUGCUAAGACAGGUGUGAAAUCCCCGGGCUUAACCUGGGAACUGCGCUUGUAACUGGCAAGCUUGAGUGUGGCAGAGGGGGGUGGAAUUCCACGUGUAGCAGUGAAAUGCGUAGAGAUGUGGAGGAACACCGAUGGCGAAGGCAGCCCCCUGGGCUAACACUGACGCUCAGGCACGAAAGCGUGGGGAGCA
rnacentral:rRNA from 1 species